rnacentral:rRNA from 1 species
UACGUAGGCAGCGAGCGUUGUUCGGAGUUACUGGGCGUAAAGCGUGCGCAGGCGGUUUGUUAAGUCUGUUGUGAAAUCCCCGAGCUCAACUUGGGAAUUGCAAUGGAUACUGGCAGGCUGGAGUAUGGUAGAGGAAGGUGGAAUUCCCGGUGUAGCAGUGAAAUGCGUAGAGAUCGGGAGGAACACCAGUGGCGAAGGCGGCCUUCUGGACCAAUACUGACGCUCAUGCACGAAAGCGUGGGGAGCAAACAGG